rnacentral:rRNA from 1 species
UGUGGUUAAAUGCGCAGAGACUCUAAAGAACUUACCCUAGAUUGAACACCUAGUGAGCAUGCCUUAAACGGAGAGUACCCUUCGGGGACAUUUGGGACAGGUGGUGCAUUGUCAUCGUCAGCUCGUGUCGUGAGAUGUAGGGUGAAGUCCCGCAACGAGCGCAACCCUUGUCUUUAGUUGCCAUCAUUAAGUUGGGCACUCUAGAUAGACUGCCAGGGAUAACCUGGAGGAAGGUGGGGAUGACGUCAAAUCAUCAUGCCCCUUAUGCUUAGGGCUACACACGUGCUACAAUGGGUAGUACAGAGGGUUGCCAAGACGUAAGGUCGAGCUAAUCCCUUAAAGCUUCUGUCAGUUCGAACUUUAGGCUGAAACUCGCCUACAUGAAGCUGGAGUUACUAGUAAUCGCAGAUCAAAAUG